rnacentral:rRNA from 1 species
UGCAUGUCGAACGAACUUUGGUUAGUGGCGAAUGGGUGAGUAACAUGUAAGAAUCUACCCCUUGAUCAGGGAUACCCCAUGGAAACGUGGGUUAAUACCAGAUAAGCUGAAAAGUUAAAGAGUUUUCGUCAAGGGAUGAGCUUGCACCUGAUUAGCUAGUUGGUAAGGUAAAAGCUUACCAAGGCGACAAUCAAUAGCUGAUUUGAGAGGAUGAUCAGCCACACUGGGACUGAGAUACGGCCCAGACUCC